GUGAAGCAGCCAAGAACCUGCCUGAAGCCUGGGAAGGACAAAGCGGCCGGUCAGGGAAACCCCAGGACAGGAGCAGAGGGGAAGCACUGUGUUGGGGAGGAAUCGCCCGAGGAGGACGACAGACCGGAGCUGGACCCAGUAUCGCUGCUGCCCAGAGCUGUCUGAGGCCCAAGGAGUUCCACGACAGGACCUCUGCUGCCAAAGUUUGGCAGAAGAAAGAAAACGGGGUGAUCUCACUUCACACUAGUAAUCCUUCAAAGCUCAGAAAUGAUACUUAUCCAGCCAUUUUCAGAUAGAAAGAUGGCUGGCUGAAUGCGGGAUUAGGCAGUAAACAAGAAAAACAGCAGGGAGCCUCAGAAUGGUCUUCUGGAUUGGAGCAAGGGGAAGAGGAUAAUUUAUCCAAAACAUGAAACAAUUUGUCUUUUAAAAAUGACUGUCCAUUUGAGGAGGAAAUUUCUGAAUUAGUUAGGCUGCACUGCUGGCACAUUUUCAUUAUACCAAAAUGCUGUAAGUGCUUGGAGGGCAGAAGAGGCUCCUAUAAACACCUAUCACAUCCAAGAGUUAAAAGAAUAUGUUGCUGAUAAGGCCUGGUCUACACUUUAAAAAGUUAGAUUGACAUAGCUAUGGCAUUCAGGGGUGUGAAAGAUGUACACAGCUGAGCCCAUUAGCUCUGCCAACUUAACCCCUGCUGUAGACGCAGCGAGGUUGACAAGACUACUUCCUUUGACCUAGCUAUGGGAAAGUGGAAUUCCUACAGCAACCAGGAGGGAGGGGAGAACUACACAACAGGCAUUUAGAGAGAUAAAACUACAGUACCAUAGCUGUGCCACUGUAGCGCCUAUAGUCUAGACAUGGAGUGAGACUAAGCUGCCAGAUAAUUAUAUUGCUCAACUUUAGCUGAAUGUUAACAACACAACCACACUUAUUUUCAACUCAGGAGCCCUGCACAAAGAGGUCUUCAAGAUCUGGACCAAGGUAGUGAUUCUAAGCACAUGCACCAAGAGAGACACCCUCCUUCUGACCAAGUAGCUUUGACAGACUAAUGAUUAAGACUGGCACACUUUGCCAAGGCAUCCUGCAUAUUAGCUGAGAGGUUGAUAGUUGGUUUUAAUUCUGAUCCUCUGCCCAGCGUCUUUACGAAAGUCCUGCUGAAUUGCUUGGAAUAGGAGACUUAAUGCACAAGACCUGUCUACUUUUCAGUGUUAUGCUCACGUGAAGCCUGGUUCUGAAAACCCUGUGUGUGAGAGACGCCCACUGAAGUCCAUGGGACUUCUACAUUUAACAGCCUUACAGGACCAAGUUUAAGAUGUGACAAGAGACAGCCCAGCAGAGUUAAAUCCUCUAUAUUAUAACUGUUCUGUGAAUAGAUACAAAGGUAGCAGGGGCAGUAGCAGUACAAGCUUCCCCACACUGUACUCGAGCAACCUGUCCUAUCACGGAGAAACUAGUUCUGCCUCCAUGCCUACCUAACAUUGCAGUCUCACCAAUUAUAUUGGUAUUGGAACAUGGACUCAGUAGAUCGAAAUUAGUCCAACAACUCCUCAAACAACGAGCACUCAGAAGUCAUUAAAGACUAACUACCCAUACAGUCAAUAUUUGAACUGACUCCUUAUGGAAAGGGAAGAGGGUCUCAAUCAGUUUCUUAUCCUUGGCAGACUACCGUCACGACCUUGUAACAUAAAUUUAGCUCUGUGCUACACCGACAAUA